GGCGAACGUUAGCGGCGGGCCUAACACAUGCAAGUCGAACGAGAAUGAGGGGGCAACCCUUCUAGUAAAGUGGCGGACGGGUGCGUAACACGUGGGUAAUCUACCUUUUCGGCGGGGGACAACAGUCCGAAAGGAUUGCUAAUACCGCAUACGUCGGCGGAAUCUCCGGAUUCUGUCGGGAAAGAUGGCCUCUCCUUGGAAGCUGUCACCGAAAGAUGAACCCGCGGCCCAUCAGCUAGUUGGCGAGGAACGGCUCACCAAGGCUAAGACGGGUAGCUGGUCUGAGAGGAUGAUCAGCCACACUGGGACUGCGACACGGCCCAGACUCCUACGGGAGGCAGCAGUGGGGAAUAUUGGGCAAUGGGCGAAAGCCUGACCCAGCCACGCCGCGUGAGUGAUGAAGGCCUCGGUCGUAA
rnacentral:rRNA from 1 species